GGUAAGCUGUUGUCGGUCGGCGAAGAUGAGGAGGAUGACAUAGAGAACGCAAAAGGUCGAGAUAACCUUGGGACCGUGCGGAAGGAAGUUGAACCCUCCUUAGGGGAGGUUGUUCAACCUUUGUGUUUGAAACACCGUCAAAAUAUUCAUAGUAUCUUGGGUCCGGGAUGUUGGCACUGAACAAUUUUAAUUUUUGCCCAUUUACUCUAUGUUUGAAAACUUUGUUUGUAACAUUUUGCGUUUACCGAUAACAUCUUU
rnacentral:lncRNA from 1 species